CAAUAGCGUAUAUUAAAGUUGUUGCAGUUAAAAAGCUCGUAGUUGGAUUUGUGGUGUACGCCGGCGGCCCGUCGCAAGACGGAGCUUGCUUGCGUCGCCAUCCUUGGGUGGGUCCUGUGUGGCAUUCAGUUGUCGUGCAGGGGAUGCCCAUCGUUUACUGUGAAAAAAUUAGAGUGUUCAAAGCAGGCUUAUGCCGUUGAAUAUAUUAGCAUGGAAUAAUAAGAUAGGACCUUGGUACUAUUUUGUUGGUUUGCGCACCAAGGUAAUGAUUAAUAGGGACAGUUGGGGGUAUUCGUAUUCCAUUGUCAGAGGUGAAAUUCUUGGAUUUUUGGAAGACGAACUACUGCGAAAGCAUUUACCAAGGAUGUUUUCAUUA
rnacentral:rRNA from 1 species